rnacentral:rRNA from 1 species
AUUGAACGCUGGCGGCAUGCCUUACACAUGCAAGUCGAACGGUAACAGGUCUUCGGAUGCUGACGAGUGGCGAACGGGUGAGUAAUACAUCGGAACGUGCCUAGUAGUGGGGGAUAACUACUCGAAAGAGUGGCUAAUACCGCAUGAGAUCUACGGAUGAAAGCAGGGGAUCGCAAGACCUUGUGCUAAUAGAGCGGCCGAUGGCAGAUUAGGUAGUUGGUGGGAUAAAAGCUUACCAAGCCGACGAUCUGUAGCUGGUCUGAGAGGACGAUCAGCCACACUGGGACUGAGACACGGCCCAGACUCCUACGGGAGGCAGCAGUGGGGAAUUUUGGACAAUGGGCGCAAGCCUGAUCCAGCAAUGCCGCGUGCAGGAUGAAGGCCUUCGGGUUGUAAACUGCUUUUGUACGGAACGGAAAGCCCCGGGUUAAUACCCUGGGGUCAUGACGGUACCGUAAGAAUAAGCACCGGCUAACUACGUGCCAGCCGCCGCAGUAA